rnacentral:rRNA from 1 species
CUAAAGUGUGGAAUACUGAGCAUAAUCUUUUAUUCCAUUUAAUUGGGUAAUUAAUGGUAGUUACCAAAAAAAAUGAGCGUUAGCGAAAUGAAAGAAGGAAAAAUCUUUGUACCGAGAGGGUUUGUAGGGUAAAAUGGGUAUAGUAUAUUUUUAGUAGUACCUUUUGCAUAAGGGUUCAACAAGAAAAAGGUGUGGUAAUGUAUUAUCCCGAAGUCGAAAGAGCUACCAAAGGAAACCAGCCUUUAGAGGGCUACAGAGAUCAUAGUUGUAUAUAUGUCUUAAGAAUAUUUGGUAGUGAUGAAAUGUCUGUCGAGUUCGACGAUACCUGGUUGGUCCAGAAAUAAAUUAAGUUUAGGGUUGCUAGUUUAAUCGGCAAUACUUAGUAUUCCCUGAAGAGCAGUGAGUAUUUUUCAAGAACGACGUUAAGUAAAAUAAUUGGCGCUAAUUAUAAUGUAGGUCUCAUAGCGGUCAUCAUAGGAGCGGAUUUGCAGCGCAAUUUUAGUUUGUUUUUAAAGAUUAGUUUUAGGUUUGGUCUUAAGGUGUAUGGGCUGGAGUGGCUGAACAGAAAGGUUACUUCCAUAAUGUUGUGAAAUAGUAGUUGUAGUAUAUAAAUUUUGGAAAAUGAUGUUUAUAUUUUUUUAAUCUAGGCUAAGGAACUCGGCAAAUUUCCCUUCCGACUGUUUACUAAAAACAUAGCGUCUAGAAGAAGAUUAGAGGUGUUGUCUGCCCGGUGGAAUCCCUUAACGGCGGCCUUAGCGUGAGGGUCUUAAGGUAGCAUAUAGUGUUCUGGUUAAUUACCAGGUGGUAUGAAUGGGAGUACGAGAGGGGAACUGUCUCAGUUUAGUUUCAGUGAAAUUACCAUGGAGGUGAAAAGGCCUUCAUAGAAUAAAUAGACGAUAAGACCCCAUGAAAUUUUAGUCUUUGUCAGAGGUUCAAUAUAAAACCGGCGUUGUAACAGGCUUUGGUUGGGGCAACUCAGGAGCACACAAGCCUCCUGGAAUAUUUAUAGACCAAUAAGUGUUGAACCUCUUUUAUGCGUGGUUAUCGGAAAAAAUUACUCUGGGGAUAACAGCGUUAUCUUCCCGAAGAGGGCGUAUCGAUGGGAAGGUUUACGACCUCGAUGUUGAAUGUGGCUAUCCUUAGGCUAGUAGGGGGUCUAGAGGGUUGGACUGUUCGUCCAUAAAAAGCCAACCUGAUUUGAGUUAAGAACGGCGCGAGCUAGUUCGGUUUCUAUCUUUUAUUUAAAUUAAUAUUGUCAGUUUUUGUACGUAAGGACUUUAAAGACUAACAUUGUUGUUGUGGUGUGACGGAAUGUAAAGGGAAAGGGUUAUAAAAGGUUAGUGAGUGAAGUGGCAUGACAGUC